rnacentral:rRNA from 1 species
UACGAAGGGGGCGAGCGUUGUUCGGAUUUACUGGGCGUAAAGGGCGCGCAGGCGGCGCAUUUUGUCAGGCGUGAAAUCCCCAGGCUUAACCUGGGAACUGCGUCUGAUACUGGAUGGCUUGAAUUCGGGAGAGGGAUGCAGAAUUCCAGGUGUAGCGGUGAAAUGCGUAGAUAUCUGGAGGAAUACCGGUGGCGAAGGCGGCAUCCUGGACCGAGAUUGACACUGAUGAGCGAAAGCCAGGGGAGCAAACGGG